ACACUAGUGAAACUACAGGCAAGAAAAGGAAGCAUGACCCAGCCAGAAGAAAGCCAGCUGCUUAAGAACUGUUCCCAGUGAGACCUGAGAAGCAGCCUCAACUUCCUCAUCUGCAAAAUGGGGGCCAUGCCUCAGCUACCUUGGCAGAAUGAAUAUAAACCCUACCACAGCAUUGGUAAAAGCCAUCUCCCCA